rnacentral:rRNA from 1 species
GAUGAACGCUGGCGGCGUGCCUAAUACAUGCAAGUCGAGCGGAAAGACCAGGAGCUUGUUCCGUUGUCGUUUGGGGCGGGGGGGUGUGAAACACGUGGAAAACCCACCUAUAAUAGGGGGAAAACCUGGGGACAGCGGCGCUAAUCCCGUAGAAUAUAUUGAACCGCAUUGGUCCAUGGUGAAAGACGGGUUUUGUGUAUGGUAUCGAGGGAUACCCGCCGGCUUAGGUAGUUGGGAAGGUAACGGCUUACCAAGGGGAGCAUGCGUAAGCGAGCUGAGGGGGUGAUCGGCCACACUGGAGCUGAGACACGGUCCAGACUCCUGCGGGAGGCAGCAGUAGGCAAUCUUACGCAAUGGGCGAAAGCCUGGCGGAGCAACGCGGCGUGAGUGAUGAAGGUCUUCAGAUCGUAAAACUCUGUUAUUAGGGAAGAACAAAUGUGUAAGUAACUAUGCACGUCUUGACGGUACCUAAUCAGAAAGCCACGGCUAACUACGUG